rnacentral:tRNA from 1 species
CGGGAAGCUCAGUGGAG